GGAUGUGAGGGCGAUCUGGCUGCGACAUCUGUCACCCCAUUGAUCGUCAGGGUUGAUUCGGCUGAUCUGGCUGGCUAGGCGGGUGUCCCCUUCCUCCCUCACCGCUCCAUGUGUGUCCUUCCCGAAGCUGUGCGCUCGGUCGAAGAGGACAGCCUUCCCCGAAUAGAGACAGACCGGUCUUGGGUCGAGGGUAUGAGUAACUGCGCUCCCCUGCUAGAACCUCCAAACAAGCUCUCAAGAAGUUAUGGUACCUCUGUCUUUCCCAAGUUUUUUUUUUUUUUUUGGUAGCAAUUUGCUGUUAUGACUGAAUA
ensembl:misc_RNA 7SK 7SK RNA